CAUGAAUAAUCCCCAUCAUACCAACAUGAGGGGGUAGAAUAAACCCACACACUCUUGUAGCUCAACCCCAAAGCGCUGGCCUUGUAAGACAGAGAUGGAAUACACACACCUUCCCAAGAGUA
rnacentral:tRNA from 1 species